GACGAACGCUGGCGGCGUGCCUAAUACAUGCAAGUAGAACGCACAGUUUAUACCGUAGCUUGCUACACCAUAAACUGUGAGUUGCGAACGGGUGAGUAACGCGUAGGUAACCUGCCUGGUAGCGGGUGAUAACUAUUGUAAACGAUAGCUAAUACCGCAUAAUAUUGAUUAUUGCAUGAUAAUUGAUUGAAAGAUGCUAUUGCAUCACUACCAGAUGGACCUGCGUUGUAUUAGCUAGUAGGUGAGGUAACGGCUCACCUAGGCGACGAUACAUAGCCGACCUGAGAGGGUGAUCGGCCACACUGGGACUGAGACACGGCCCAGACUCCUACGGGAGGCAGCAGUAGGGAAUCUUCGGCAAUGGACGAAAGUCUGACCGAGCAACGCCGCGUGAGUGAAGAAGGUUUUCGGAUCGUAAAGCUCUGUUGUAAGAGAAGAACGGGUGUGAGAGUGGAAAGUUCACACUGUGACGGUAGCUUACCAGAAAGGGACGGCUAACUACGUG
rnacentral:rRNA from 1 species